AGGAACAUACAUCCAUUCACUAAAUAAGUAAAUAAAAAGAAAUUAAAACAAUUUAAAAAUAGUAACUAAGGAAAAAAGGAGAAUUCAAAGCCAGCCUCAGCUAAUCAUGAGACUCUGUCUCUAAGCACAAACACAUCAAUAAACAGGCAAAGUGAGAUCUGUAUUUGAAUAAAGAAAACCAGUCUGUCCAUGUACUGACCACCUCACAGACACUGGACAUACAUUUUCUUGAUUUUUGUUUGUUUGUUUUUUGAGACAGGGUUUCUCUAUGUGUAUUCCUGACUGUCCUGGAACUCACUGUGUAGACCAGGCUGACCACAAACUCACAGAGAUCCUCCUGUCUCUGCCCCUCAAAUGCUGGGAUUAAAGGCGUGCACCACCACUUCCCUGUAGGACAUACAUUUUCUUAAUUAGCCAGUCCAAAUGCAUAAGGCAAGUGUGACUGGUCCCAUCUUACAGAUACUUCACUUCGUCAUUUGGAUCCUUCCCACUAAUCUCGUUGCCAUGGCAAUUUAUAAUAAUCACCUAUUAUCAUUUCCAAUAUUGUCACUGACAUCAAAUUUUACAGACAUGCUUUGGUUUCUGUUGGAUCAUUAGCAAGUUUAGGACCUGAUGUGAGCCAUGGGGUAGGUUUGACCUACACCAGGCUGGCGUCGAACUCACAGAGAUCCACCUGCCUCUGCCUCCCGAAUGCUGGGAUUACAGGCGUGUGUCACCGUGCCCAGUGGCUAGAACGAUUCUUAACGUUUUCCUUUUGCUCUGAUAUCUGAUUAGAGCUUUGGUCACUUUUAUCUGUUUAUUUAUUUAUCCGCACUGGUGUGAGGAUGUCAGAUCCCCUGAAACUGGAUUCACAGGUAGUUGUGAGCUGCCAUGUGGGUACUGGGAACUGAACCCAGGUCCUUUGUAAGAAUAGUCAGUACUCGUAAAUCUCUCCAGCCCCAUAGCCACUUUUUUUAAACCACUGUAUUUUUCGAUAAAUCAUCCAUAAGCAUUACAGUCUGAGCCACCAACAACCCUGAGCCUAGAGCAGAGGUCUCCAAAGGAAUAUGCCAUUGAUCAUAGCUUCUUAAACUGUGGGCUGCAACUCCACCUGAGGUCAUAUAACUGAAUGCAGAGGUCACAACUGUAAAAUGUUUCUGAAGGCACAGCCAUGAAAAUAAAUUCACAAUCAAAUGUAUCUCCGAUAUUUCUAGCAGCAGCAACCCAUGAUGCUGCAAACGGAUUCACUGCAGCUUUGGUCCUGAAGACACAACACACAUCUUUGCAUGGUGCCUGCCACUGCACCAUGCAAGGCCAGCCAACACUGCCCGAAACACCUCAGCUCAGAGUCGAGAUGAUUAUACACUGUGGAUCGCAGGAUUGCAGACUCUUCCUGCACAUACGGAAUGUUCUGAUCCCAGCAGAAACAUGACGGGUUUAUGAAAAACGAAGACUAAUUUUGUGAUUUGAAAAUUUCAUACAUAUGUAUUAUAUUCUCAUUACUCUCCCACCCCUCUUGUCUCUCUUCCAUCUCUAUCAACACUUCCCAUCUCUACCAAUCUCUUGCCCAGAUUCCUGACUUUGGGUUUUGUUAAUGUGACAGUUUUCGUUUGGCCAGGGCCGUCUGUGUGUACGGAUCAGAACCAUCAGAGCUGGACAGGGUCAUCAGUGGGUACACGGCUGACCUGUGUCUGUCUGUGGUAAACGGUUCAGCAAGGACAGGGAAGGCCUCCUGAGUCCUCCUCCCUCCACUCCUGUUGAUCAGGCAUCGUCUGCAGACCCAGUGAGGGCGACCCCAGCUGCUGUGAGCUGGUGGCUGCAAUCAAUGGUUGUGUCUUGGAUUUCGUCAAGGUGACACAGCCCCAGACAUAUCAGUGAAGAGGGAAGCUCAGUUGAGAAAUUGCUUCUACCAGAAUGCCAUGUGGGCGAGUUUGUGGGGCAUUUUCUUGAUUAAACUGAGGUGGGCGGACCCCUAUCCCUGGGGGCAGUGCCGCCCCUGGGCAUGUGGUCCUGGGUUGUGUAAGAAAGCAGACUCCUGAGCAAGCAUGAGAAGCCAGCCAGUAAGUGGUGUGCCUCCAUAGCCUCUGCUUUGGUCCCUGCUUCUGGGAUCCCGCCCCGAGUGCCCGCUUCGUCUUCCCUCAGUAACGGACCGCAACCCGCAAAAGUGAAAUAAGCCUUUCCUCCCCCAGUUGCUUGCAAUCAUCGUUGUAUCAGCAACAGAAACCAACCGAGACAGCGGCCUUUCUCCUUGUUUCCCGGCAGUGUUCCCUGAGUCUUACAGAGGAUGACAGAAAUGCUGAUUUAGGCGGAGUACUCAGCCACCACCUUUCUCAGCAGGACUCUCUACAGUCCCCAUUACCACGGCGUGGAAAGAGAAGCUUCUCUGAUUCAGGGUUCAAGUACCAGGAAGAUACUUACUCCUUCCUGCAGGCUGGGCCUCCAAUCCAAACAGAGAGCGUUUGGUCAUCCCGUUACCAUACUGCCGCCAUUGCACAUCUUACUUGUCAAGUUGGUACCGUAGAUCUGGAAUUAAUAGCUGGCUGUCGCCACUGAUGCCUCCCCUGAGCCCAGCAGCCUUGGGACUAUGAGAGGACUUCCGCCAGGAAGGAGGAAGCCUCCACCACAGUUCAGCUUGGGGAAAACAAAGACUUUAAUAAUUUCUUAUCAUCACUCCUCGGCGUGCAAGUAUCAAAUCAGUAUUCCUUUGGACUGGAUUACAAUGUUUGAUUUCAAAACUUGCUGUCUGAGUUGCUGACUUAAGCUUCAUUUUACAAAAACAUUGAAUGAAUUUUGGCUUGGAAUUAUGUUAAAACGGCCAGUGGUCUCAAACAUACUUCCCCAUUUUGUACUAUGUAUUUAUGUAAAGUAGCAUUCUUUGCAUUUGACAAUUAAAUCAAAAUAUCGAUCAA